GGCUGAGGCAGGAGGAUUGCAAGUUCAAAGCUAGCCUCAGCAACUUAUCAAGGCCCUAAGCAACUCAGCAAGAUUCUAAAUAAAAUAUAAAAAAGGGCUGGGGAUGUGGCUCAGUGGUUAAGUGCCCAAGUUUAAUCCCUGUACCCCCUCCAAAAAAAAUGAUAAGUUGUACUCAAUACUUUGUUAGCAAUCUUUCCUCCUCCAGUGUUUCAGUGUGCCUAUAACAAUAUGUAUACAGACAUAACUAAGAAUUUACACAUUGCUCUUCAGUUUGAUAUUUUCCGCUUGACACUUAUUUAGAAUGUUUUUAGCUGCAAGUAAUAGAAAACACGGAGCAAGCUACACACAGGUUUGCUUGUUUUGUUUUGUUUUGUUUUGUUUUUUCUCAUAGUGCACUUGCUAGGCAGUGGCUGUGGCAUGCUUUCAGCUCUUCAGAGGUCCUGUUGGGAACCCCUCUCUGUCCCGUCUCUGUCAUCCUGGGUCUGCUGGCAUUUGUCCGCCUGCUUGUCACCUUGCGGUCACAAAGUGGCCAUCACUCUGACUACUUAGCCCACACUGAAGACUCAAAGGGGCAGAAAAUAAAAAGGAAAUGUUAGUUCCCUUUUAUUAAGAAAGAAAAAUCCCCCCCCCCAACCCAUCCAUCCACCCCCAGUAGAUUUCCACCUAACAGAGCAUUGGCUAGAUUCAUGUCCUACGUGGACGCCUGAGGUGAGAGUUGGCCACUGGUAUUGGAUCAACCAAUCCAAAGUGUCCGCCACAGCCAGACAUCCUGGGGAUACAUCUGAGUCAGUCACAGAGACUUCCUGUGGUCCAGUGUGUGGACAUUUGGAUAAUUUUGGAAGAGUUUGUUCUUAACACGCCCAGGCAGUGUCCUCAUAUUUGCUACAAGAGCUUUAGUAAGACACGGGCCUCGAGGAGGAACUGCUGGGUCAGAACAUUUCAGUCUUGAUAUCACCAGGAUCCUGGGAGCUUCUAGGGACUGAGGACCACAGAAGGGAGCCUUCUCUGAUCCCCACAGGCCAUUUUGCUGGUAACAAAUAACUGUGUUUUGCCUUUCACGUGAGAAGACUGACUACGAUUCUGAUAUAAUUAUAGAAAAAGUAGUGGAUGGAUUUUUGGAGUUCUGGGCCAGUUGAUGACUGAAAGAUGAAGAGAGAAACCUUUGAGUGGUUUUCAGGUUUCCUUUGCAAUCUGACAUUGUCCUCUGAUGCAGAGGAUUUCCUGGGUGAUGGUGCAAAAUAACACCCCUCAAGGGGACCAUCACUUCUACCCUAGAAAAGGGAAAUGUGUAUUCACACAAACAGCCCUGUGGAGAUGUUUACCUCAGCUCUAUUUUUAACAUUCAGGAACUGUAAACACUCAAAUGCUCCUCAGCAGCAAAUGGGUAAACCAACUGGUAGAUCCUUGGAAUGGAAUACUGCAAGGCAAAGAACUAUUUUCACAUGGAUCUCAACAGCAUUGUGCUGAGUGAAAGAAGCCAGUCUCAAAGGGCUUCAUAUGCAUGAUUCCAUGUGUUCUCAAAAGGACAACAUGACAGCGAUGGUUGCCAAGGUUUCCAGGGUUGCUGGGGGGUGAGGGUGCAGGGAGGGCAUCAGCCAAGGGAGAGUCUUGCAUGACAAAUUGUUCUGCAUCCUGAUUAUGGAGCGAUUUGCCUAAAUCUGCAUGUUGUGUCAAAUUCACUCUGUAUUUUUCUCAAAAGUCUGUUUUACUUUCAAAAUACAAAGUAGAUCAUAGACAGUCUGCAAACCCUAUUGGUCUACUAGUGGAUCAGUAGAAAAACUAGAAAUGACUAUAGCAAUUUUUCCACAUUAUGAUUGUUCUGAUUAUAUUUAUUAAGAUGUAAUUUAAAUGUAACAAUGAGUGCCAUUCCAAUUUAAGCAAAGUUACAAUUAACAUUAUUUUGUAUGUAUUUCUU
rnacentral:lncRNA from 1 species